ACAUUUGUGGUUCAGUGGUAUAAUUCUUGCCUUCCCGGUAGGAGACCCAGGUUCGAUUCCUGGCCAACGUA
rnacentral:tRNA from 1 species